rnacentral:rRNA from 1 species
AUUGAACCCUGGCGGCAGGCUUAACACACGCAAGUCGAGCGGGGUGAUGGUGCUUGCACUAUCACUUAGCGGCGGACGGGUGAGUAAUGCUUAGGAAUCUGCCUAUUAGUGGGGGACAACAUCUCGAAAGGGAUGCUAAUACCGCAUACGUCCUACGGGAGAAAGCAGGGGAUCACUUGUGACCUUGCGCUAAUAGAUGAGCCUAAGUCGGAUUAGCUAGUUGGUGGGGUAAAGGCCUACCAAGGCGACGAUCUGUAGCGGGUCUGAGGGGAUGAUCCGCCACACUGGGACUGAGACACGGCCCAGACUCCUACGGGAGGCAGCAGUGGGGAAUAUUGGACAAUGGGGGGAACCCUGAUCCAGCCAUGCCGCGUGUGUGAAGAAGGCCUUAUGGUUGUAAAGCACUUUAAGCGAGGAGGAGGCUCUUUUGGUUAAUACCCAAGAUGAGUGGACGUUACUCGCAGAAUAAGCACCGGCUAACUCUGUGCCAGCAGCCGCGGUAA